UGAGCAACCUGCCCUUGGCUUCGGGAUAACUCCGGGAAACCGGGGCUAAUACCGGAUGUGACGCGCCCGCGCAUGGGGGUGUGUGGAAAGAUUUAUUGGCCAGGGAUGGGCUCGCGGCCUAUCAGCUUGUUGGUGGGGUGAUGGCCUACCAAGGCGACGACGGGUAGCCGGCCUGAGAGGGCGACCGGCCACACUGGGACUGAGACACGGCCCAGACUCCUACGGGAGGCA
rnacentral:rRNA from 1 species